rnacentral:ncRNA from 1 species
ACGGAGGAUGUUAGACUUUCUUAUUACUCCGUACACAAGGCAGCAACGCCCGGACAGGACGUCCGGGCGAGGUCGCACGCGACAUGGAUGUUGCGUAAUGACCGUUUGCGUCACGUUAUACUUUUCUUAUCGGAGUAAUUAGAAAGACU